GCCACGCUUUGCAUCUCUUGCUACAUGUUUUGUUCUUGGUGAAAUCUCUCUCCGUGCAAGCAAAUUAAAGACAUUGCUACAAUGCGACAAAUUCAACACAUCAGAUGAGAGAAAUAUUAUACAGAAAACUGAUAUAAAAUCCAUAUAAAAACUGAGGCAAACUUUUAUUUCUGCUUCGAUGGUUUAAGUAUUAAGAAACUAAUACAUCUUUAACUUAAUACAAAUUUCAGCUGAUCCUAAUGGUCAAUGAACGAGCACAUAGACCAUUAUAACAAAUCAAAUUUUGCAAAUCUCGAUCAGAAUCACCAUAAUUCAAUCAUACAAAAAAUUCCAAAUGAUUCGAUCUAAAUGCAACUGAAACCGAUGGAAACAGAGAAAUGAUUAAUCAGAAACGGAGAAUCGUUACCUGCCGUUAGAAUUACCGGUGCGAUCACGAUUCCGAUGAAUUCUCGUCAUAUGUGUGUGUAGAAUACAGAAAUAUACAACAAAAAAAGAGAGA
rnacentral:lncRNA from 1 species